UACGUAGGGUGCAAGCGUUGUCCGGAAUUAUUGGGCGUAAAGAGCUCGUAGGCGGUCUGUCGCGUCGGAUGUGAAAAUCAGGGCUCAACCCUGGACCUGCAUUCGAUACGGGCAGACUAGAGUUCGGCAGGGGGAGACUGGAAAUUCCUGGUGUAGCGGUGAAAUGCGCAGAUAUCAGGAGGAACACCGGUGGCGAAGGCGGGUCUCUGGGCCGAUACUGACGCUGAGGAGCGAAAGCGUGGGGGGAGCGAACAGGA
rnacentral:rRNA from 1 species